AACGAACGCUGGCGGCAGGCCUAACACAUGCAAGUCGAACGCAUCGCAAGAUGAGUGGCGCACGGGUGAGUAACACGUGGGAAUGUAUCCUUUGGUUCGGAAUAACGUCUGGAAACGGACGCUAAUACCGGAUGAGCCCUUAGGGGGAAAGAUUUAUCGACGAAGGAGCAGCCCGCGUCUGAUUAGGUAGUUGGUGGGGUAAAGGCCUACCAAGCCGACGAUCAGUAGCUGGUCUGAGAGGAUGAUCAGCCACACUGGGACUGAGACACGGCCCAGACUCCUACGGGAGGCAGCAGUGGGGAAUAUUGGACAAUGGGCGCAAGCCUGAUCCAGCCAUGCCGCGUGAGUGAUGAAGGCCUUCGGGUUGUAAAGCUCUUUCGCACACGACGAUGAUGACGGUAGUGUGAGAAGAAGCCCCGGCUAACUUCGUGCCAGCAGCCGCCGUAACAC
rnacentral:rRNA from 1 species